GUGCUAAAAUGCUCAUGUUUAUACUGCUUACCAUAUUCACCAUCUUAGUUAAGCAUGUUAGCAUUAUUACAUGGGAUGAAGCCUGUUGCCCACAUACAGCUCACAGCAAUGCACACGGUUCAGUUGAUUGGUUAGACCACCACUUUGGUCAAGACUGAAAAGCGUUACGAUGCAGCAGAAGAGGCGAGCCCAUUAGCAAGUCAACCAGCUGUGGUGGACGGUUGGGUUAUGCAUCAUUUGCCUGGAGUAGAGAUGGCCUCAGGAAGCACUAGGGGAAUAAGGCAAACUGGUGGAGCAACCUUCCACCACGACCAGCCCAGGAGUAAGUCCCAGCGUCUGCAGCCCGGCCUUUCCCUCAUCAUUCCACCACUGACUGUUAUUCACCUUCUGCGGCUCGA